AUCAGAGCAAGAUAUGUGAAUUACAUCAAAACAUCAGAGGUUGUCAGACUGCCCUAUCCUCUCCAAAUGAAAUCUUCAGGUCCACCUUCUUACUUUAUUAAAAGGGAAUCGUGGGGCUGGACAGACUUUCUAAUGAACCCAAUGGUUAUGAUGAUGGUUCUUCCUUUAUUGAUAUUUGUGCUUCUGCCUAAAGUGGUCAACACAAGUGAUCCUGACAUGAGACGGGAAAUGGAGCAGUCAAUGAAUAUGCUGAAUUCCAACCAUGAGUUGCCUGAUGUUUCUGAGUUCAUGACAAGACUCUUCUCUUCAAAAUCAUCUGGCAAAUCUAGCAGCGGCAGCAGUAAAACAGGCAAAAGUGGGGCUGGCAAAAGGAGGUAGUCAGGCCGUCCAGAGCUGGCAUUUGCACAAACACGGCAACACUGGGUGGCAUCCAAGUCUUGGAAAACCGUGUGAAGCAACUACUAUAAACUUGAGUCAUCCCGACGUUGAUCUCUUACAACUGUGUAUGUUAACUUUUUAGCACAUGUUUUGUACUUGGUACACGAGAAAACCCAGCUUUCAUCUUUUGUCUGUAUGAGGUCAAUAUUGAUGUCACUGAAUUAAUUACAGUGUCCUAUAGAAAAUGCCAUUAAUAAAUUAUAUGAACUACUAUACAUUAUGUAUAUUAAUUAAAACAUCUUAAUCC
rnacentral:lncRNA from 1 species